rnacentral:pre_miRNA from 1 species
AAUCUACUCCCUCCGUUCGGAAUUACUUGUCUCGGAAAUGGAUGUAUCUAGAACUAAAAUACAUCUAGAUACAUCCAUUUCUACGACAAGUAAUUCCGAACGGAGGGAGUACUAC